CCUACGGGAGGCAGCAGUGAGGAAUAUUGGUCAAUGGGCGCGAGCCUGAACCAGCCAAGUAGCGUGAAGGAUGACGGCCCUACGGGUUGUAAACUUCUUUUAUAAAGGAAUAAAGUGAGGCACGUGUGCCUUUUUGUAUGUACUUUAUGAAUAAGGAUCGGCUAACUCCGUGCCAGCAGCCGCGGUAAUACGGAGGAUCCGAGCGUUAUCCGGAUUUAUUGGGUUUAAAGGGAGCGUAGAGGGGUUGUUAAGUCAGUUGUGAAAGUUUUCGGCUCAACCGUAAAAUUGCAAUUGAUACUGGCAGUCUUUCGUACAGUUGCGGUAGGCGGUAUUCGUGGUGUAGCGGUUCACUGCUUCGAUAUCACG
rnacentral:rRNA from 1 species